GACGAACGCUGGCGGCGUGCCUAAUACAUGCAAGUAGAACGCUGAAGGAGGAGCUUGCUUCUCUGGAUGAGUUGCGAACGGGUGAGUAACGCGUAGGUAACCUGCCUGGUAGCGGGGGAUAACUAUUGGAAACGAUAGCUAAUACCGCAUAAUAGCAGUUGUUGCAUGACAACUGUUUGAAAGGUGCAAUUGCACCACUACCAGAUGGACCUGCGUUGUAUUAGCUAGUUGGUGGGGUAACGGCUCACCAAGGCGACGAUACAUAGCCGACCUGAGAGGGGGAUCGGCCACACUGGGACUGAGACACGGCCCAGACUCCUACGGGAGGCAGCAGUAGGGAAUCUUCGGCAAUGGACGGAAGUCUGACCGAGCAACGCCGCGUGAGUGAAGAAGGUUUUCGGAUCGUAAAGCUCGGUUGUAAGAGAAGAACGAGUGUGAGAGUGGAAAGUUCACACUGUGACGGUAGCUUACCAGAAAGGGACGGCUAACUACGUG
rnacentral:rRNA from 1 species